ACAAAUGUCAGUUAUGCCAUCACCAUUUCAGCCUACCAAUAAUCUCACCUAACAACAAGACCAUACCGUUUGAGGAACUUGCAAUCGGAUCUCUUCACAUGGAAAUGGACGUUGUGUCCUACCACUCUAGUUUCAUCGUAGGGUGUUUUACCGACGGGAAAUUAGCUCUUCCACAAUCCUUGGGUUUUCAAUUAGCCAUCCGGCGAACACGUCACUCCAAGUCCUCUCCCAUCAUCCAUUCGACGCCGGGCUUUUCCCCUCCUUUAAAUCGAUAGUCUUGCACCACACGUUCAUCGGAUAGAAUGGAAAAUUACGGACCACAGUAGAACUAUUCCUCGAACACCUGAUCUGAUGCACUUUGCGCCAUCCAACCCUCAAGAUCCACAACCAACGGUGCGAAAGUCUGGGAAAUGGAACUCGUCGGAGUGCAAGGUAGUCAUUGCCACUUGCAAAACUGUAAUUGUCAAAGGCCGCCGACAAGACAAAUGCUUCUCCACAAAAGGAUGAUAAAGUAUCGCAAAAAUGUUUAACAAGUCAUUUGGAAAAAACUGGACUAUAUCGCAAAUGAAGAACUCCUAUUUGAACUGUUGCAAUGCACAAGAAUUGAGUACCUCUCAAGGACCAAUACAAUCGUCGCCCCUGAGCAUUUUGGGAAGCAAAAAUCAAGAUAACCCGAAAUAUAUGAAGUACAAGCGUUAGACUACAACGAGAUUUACAACACGUAUGGAAAAUUGUACGACGACGCGACGAAGUACGUGUUGUCCCCAACAAAGCUAUCAUAUAGUGGUUUCAACCUGAGUACAGACAGUGACAAAUAGGACGGAGGUGAUAAGUUGCCCAUCAACGUGAAGGGAACCGAUUAUAGUGGAAGUCCAAGCAAAGAAAGAGGAAACUCUUCCAUGAAUAUAUCCAGGAAACGAAGUGGUGAUAAACGAAAAGGCAAACAACGGAGAGAUAAAUAAAAGAGAAAAAGGUACAGUGCGCGAGAUGUUUUUGCAUCACUUGAGCAGAUGGUUAGUGUUAAAACAAUCUUGCCUCAAUUGCGAGAUCAUAUCGUAAUUGAGGAAUGCCGGUCGUCGAGUACGUUGACAAACUUCUAUCAUUUAUGUAUGUGAAAGAGGGUGAUGUGCUUCACCUGUUCGCCCUGUGGUUCUUUCGCGACAAAGAUAAUCACAAUUCAUAUUGUACUGCCAAGACACCAUUUCUGCGCUUCAAGUUUGUGGAGUCUGCUUCAAGCGAGACAAUAUAUCGCUUUAGCGAAAGGGGUGAUUUGUACAGUAUUAGGGUACUGUGAUCAGCAGUUUUCUCUCUCUUUUAUUUAUAUUACCGGUAUACUAGAGCUGUAUCUGAAUUCUCCUGCGAGAAAUUUUUUGUGGCACAUGUGAAACUAGCCUAUUUUCAUGGUUAUGAUUUGUA